rnacentral:lncRNA from 1 species
AAAACAGGAGAAAAAGUUUGGGUGUUGUUGAAAUCUGUCCAUAAUUAAGAAGUGGAGCUAUAUAUAGGUACGUACAUGUGUAUAUAUGUUGAUUUUGAGUUUUAUUUGAGUUUAUCGAUUUUGAGUGUGAUUGAAGUGAUAAAUUUUGAGUACGUUUGAUGUAUAUAUAUAUAUGUGUGUAUUGAUCGAUUUGGUUGAUGAUUUGAUAAUAUAUAUGAAGUUGUUGUUAAUAAGUAGUAGAUAUAUAUAUAUAUAUAUAUGUUAAUUAAUUUAUAAUAUUGUGUUGAUGGUAUGAAGUCGUUGAUGAUGAUUUUGUGAUGAUGUUGAUAUAUAUAAUAUUGUUAUGUAAUUAUUAAUUAAGUAUAUCUACAUAUAUAUAUAUAUAUGUGUUAAUUAAUUUGUUAUCAAUUAAUUAGUUGUAGUACGUAGAAUAUAUAUAAAUGAAUUAAAAUUUUAUAUAUGGCAUAGAAUUUAAUUAAUAAUUAGCUAGCGUUAUACAUAUAUAUUUUGUUAUAUUUUCAAGAUAUGGAUAAGAGUUGGAUUUCGCUUCCAAAAUAGGACAAAAGAUAUGGUAAAGGAAUUAUGAGUUUUCUGGAAUAUGCGCUGGCUAAUACUAACGAGAAUACAAUUUUCUAUUACCCGUGCACGAAAUGUCAGUAUCGUAACGAUAUGCAUCGAUUUGCGAUUGACAAAGUAUGGCAGCACCUGAAGAGUAACGGGUUUUGGGAGAAGUACACAUGUUGGUUAUAUCACGGUGAAACAUCAUCUGGGGGUCCGCAUGAUCAUGGCCAAUUUUCUGAGACGGACAGUACAUCCAACGAUCUAACAACGGUCUUCAUCAACGACAUGUUUCCUUAUGAGAGCGGUGUAUGCGCUC